rnacentral:rRNA from 1 species
UACGGAGGAUGCGAGCGUUAUCCGGAUUUAUUGGGUUUAAAGGGUGCGUAGGUUGUUUUUUAAGUCAGCGGUGAAAGUUUGUGGCUCAACCAUAAAAUUGCCGUUGAAACUGGCAGUCUUGAGUACAGUAGAGGUGGGCGGAAUUCGUGGUGUAGCGGUGAAAUGCUUAGAUAUCACGAAGAACUCCGAUUGCGAAGGCAGCUCACUGGACUGCAACUGACACUGAGGCUCGAAAGUGUGGGUAUCAAACAGG